GACAAAGCACAUCUCUAGACUUGUGUCGUAGGGCAAGAUGUAUUGAUGAGAUGGGAAAAUUAAAUUCCUGCACACGAGCUCCAACAAUUUGCUUCCCUUGUUUGGUAAUAACAUCCUCCGUGACAGAAACUUAUGUCGUACCUAAAGCUUCCUGGUUAGAUAAUGAUUGUUUCACUGGAUCGCCAAAAUUUCUUGAUGGCACGGAAC
rnacentral:misc_RNA from 1 species